GAUUCCUUCUUCUCCGCCAGCUGUAAUAAAGCUGUUGGCCCCAAAAUCCUGAAAAUUAAACAUAGAUUUGUUGUAAAAAUAACAUAAAGACUAUUUUCUUACUAGAGCUGAUUAAAUUUACCUGUGUGCACUUUUGCGUAAGUUGUCAUAUUCGACUCCUUCAAAUUGCUUGAGUAUAAAAUAAGUGCAGUAGGUUGUAUCUUCUAUAUAUUCUACACCAGUCUCUGACUUAAGAACUGGAACGUUGAACUGCUGAGCUGCAGCACCUAAUGCAGGAUCCUCACUGGCUGCACCAACGAGGCAUAUCCUCUUUUUGCGAGGUAUAAUUAGAUCUAUAAAGAAGAGUUCAAGUGUCAGUCAAUCAAAUUCAAGGUGAAAAUAGUUGAUGGAGAAAUGUAUCCAAGUUGUAACGAGUCUCAUGAUUCCAAUUAAAACAAUGCAAUAUAUACAUGGCUUUUAAUUAGGCUCAAUGGAUGGGAGUAAAAUAUAACGUGAGAAGAUGUAAAUUAUUCCAUUGAAAUACACAUGUGGAGAAUAGUAAAGUUUUUAUGCAUAAAAACUGCAAUAAAUAACUCUUACUGCCAUUAUACUACCAAAAUUUAUACUACCUCUGACAACAAUGACUCUCACGAGUAUUAACAUUAAAUCCCAAUUAAGGGAAACUGUUUUCAAAAUUACUAUUGCCAAAUAUUUCAGGCAAUUGUAAUUUUGCACUAGAACAUGAGUAAUUUGAUUUUAUUCCAAAUUUGUCGUGUAAUAAUUUAACAUAAUUUCAUAACAAUAGAUUGAAAACUUAUUUGUUUUCCACAACUGCCUGAUUCAACAUUAACCCUGUAACUAGAUUCCAAGCCACUAAGUCCAUAAAUAAACAAGUAUUAGAGAUAGAUGAAUCUACAGAAUUUAGGGCCUAUGCUGAAGGUCACUGGUCAGGCCAAACAAAGAAUGAAAUACCAAUGAUGUUAUCUAUGUGCUCUGCAUAUUCAGAGGUUUACAAAGAUAAACUCUUGUACCUGAGACUUGCAAGAAGAAAAGAUUACUCACUCCAAUCUCAAAAUUUACAGCUUUACAGUGCUAUUUCAAUCACGAAAAUACUUUCUCAAAAUAAAAGUCCUAUGUUUGACUCAUGUAAAGAUUAAAAUGUCCAAGUAUUCUUCAAUGUUUAAGCAAAUAACUGAAAUUCUAUUGUUGUUGUUAUGAAAAAAUUUAUAAUCAAAAACAUCAUGACUGUAUUCAACAAAUUCAAAAGUAAUUAAAAAAUGUCUAUUAUUGAAAUGUAAACAAUUACAUAGUUUCUGUACAGUAGGUACAAAGUCAAGUACAAUAAUAAUUUAAUCCUGUGAGUUUGUUCUCUCGCAGCAAUAAAUAAUUCAUUGGCUCGUUAUUUUUCAAAUGCAUUCGACCUCAUCCAAAAUAAACUUCUGCUCCAAUUCGGUACUCUCUUGAAAUAAACAAAGCUGAGUUCAGUUAAUUCACUUUUCACUGAUGGAUUGAGUAAAGUCAUCUGCGAGCACAUAAAGUAAAUAAUUUCCAAGCGCGAAUAUACCAGAAUUUUUCAAUCCUAAGAGCAACAAUCGAAUUUUUCAAGUUAUCAGAAAUGAAAUUAGCAUACAAAACAUCAUCCUCUCAUAAACGCUCUAUUAAAGAUGAGAAAAUCGACGUGAGUCAAAACCCAAUCAUCACCUGAAGGAAAACUCGCAAGCGCUCUCAAGAUUUCCCAACGAGUCGUCACGAGGAAAACAAGCUCUCAAAUGUAAUCCCCACACAGCGAUAAAAGAAUCAUAAAAGCCGCUUUUGCCUCUAAUACUACACGAGAGCAUCCCCUCUGAAUGAAAGCUCGAAUUCCAGAAGAGUAUAACUGAAUCAUCAACGCUAUCUCGUCAACUGAUCGCAGAUAUACAGAGAGAGAGAACGCAAGACGCACCUCUCCGCAACGGUUCGGAUUCAAACCUCCGAGUCGUCGGCAUCAUCAUCUCCGAAAAAUUCGACCCCCUCCACGCAUCGCGGAGCGUCGAAAAGGACACUCUUGCGAGUGAGAGAGAGAGAGAGAGAGAGAGAGAGAGAGAGAGAGAGAGAGAGAGAGAGAGAGAGAGAAAGAGAGAGCUUAUAGUAUAAGCGAGUGAGCGAGAUCGCGCAUCGCGCACAAGCAAACUCUCGGGGGCACUUACAUUCAGUCUUGACGGCCUCCUCACUAUUUAUAUCGCUGGUACUGCUGUGCACGCUCUGCUCUUCCAUUUUGGCCGCACUGCUGCUGCUGCCGGAGACUUUGUCCACCUCCUCCUCCUCUUGGCGAAGCGACGGGCGAAGAGCAGCGGCAGCUCCUUGAGCCUGUGGCACAUACACCAGCCAUAACCCGGAUUAGCACAUGUUCAAUUUAUUUCUCCCCUCAGCUCUCGGGAGGAAAAUGCCGAGUCGUCGUGUAUUAUGUAUAAUGCGAUAUAUUCGCUCUGUAAACACCACACCGCUAGUCUCUCUGUGUUGCUGCUGCGCCGGACGGUACGGUUCUACUGCCGCCGCGAGCGCCCCGAAUUUUCACGCGCGCAGGUGCGCGCUCGCUGUUGAUAAAACAGAGCGCGGUAGGCCGAUUUCGUUUCGUUUUUUUCUGUUACGCUCGAAAGAGAGCUUGCAGCGAAAAGCGGUUGUUGAACGCACAGCAGAAGCACAGCUGACGCGAGAAUCGUUUCCUUGAUGUUCGACGAUUGUCGAGAGGAGACACACACGCAGCUUGCGCCGAAAAGUUAUAUCGAUUUACUAUUAUGACGCGUGUUUUCACGCUAAAUUUAACGCGACCUGACGUCACAGAAUUUCGGCGGUGUAGGUGUUCGGCUAAAGUAUAUCUAUAUACGAGUGUACGUUGGGCUUUUGCUAAAAUUUCCGCACGUGUCCGUCGCGCAUAUCGAGAGCACCGGGUUGGAAUGCUUUCUUAUCGCGAUUUGGAACUAAUUGAAGAUAAAUAGAUCCUUGAGUGAAAUCGAAAAUUACUUCGAGCUUGAAUAAUCACAGCUAUUGUGCGCGAGGGAGAUUUUAAUGCCCCUUUUUACAUCAUUGCACGCACAUCGAAGUUCAUAUCAUGCGGUUCGCGAGUGUGACGAGUGUGUAAUGUUCUGCGCUCGGCUUUGUGCAAACGAAAAAUUCUUAUCGUUCCUGCAUUUAUUAAGCCUCAUGCAGGCUGCUUCUCGGAAUGAUAAAAAUUGAUAUCUCAAUUGUGUUCUCCUCGUGAAUAGAUAAUCGAGGCGCUCUCUCUCUCUCUCUCUCUCUCUCUCUCUCUCUCUCUCUCGCAUUCUAUACUUCGUCUAAAAUUACGCGUGUUUUAUCAACGAUCAAAAGCACCGCGAACGUUACAGUUUUUUCACGUUUACGCAAAUGUGACAAAAGAAGCGAUAAAUUUAAAAUUCGUUCGAUUCAAAAACGAGAUUUUCCUCGUGCGUAAAUCCCCGUAACGAGUUCUACGGCGAUUCGGCCGUCGUCGUCGAGAGACAUUUCGUUUGGAAACUAGUGAAAAAAAACGCGUCGAUUAGUGCUUAGUCAGCGGCGUAAUUCAUCAACGGGCAGAAAUGCAAUCCAAAUCGACGAGAAACGACCGAGAGACGUAAUACCUCCUUUUGUGCAGCAGCAACGACUAUACUCGACAUUUUCCUCUAUACUUUGAAGCCUCGGAGAUUAGCGUGUAACACUUAAAAUACUAAGUUAUUGGGAAGUUUCCGAGAGCGCACGAAAAUACAUUGAAAUCGUUUUGCAGAAAGUUCGUUAAAAACUCAAUCGCUCCAGUAAAUCAAUCGAGUUUGAGAAAUUGUUUUACGAUCGAUUUAACAGCUCGAUAAAUUAUUUGCACACUCAAUGUAGCAAUAUUUUUUUCUCUCUCGAUUUCAUAAAGCGCGAUAGCGUGAAAAUAAAGUCUUGGCGCCAUGAGAAAUUCAGAGCCGUAGCCGAAUACUCGGAAAUCUUUGUUUCCGAAAGAGAGAGAGAGAGAGAGAGAGAGAGAGAGAGAGAGAGAGAGAGAGAGAGCGAAUUUAUUUUAAGACAAAUUUGUACGGUAAACAGGCUAAUAUAUGUAUCAGGCGGAUAUCAAAUAGAGAAAAAAGGCGCGCGGGAGGAUGAGCUGGAAGUGUCGGAGGUGGGGGUGUGUAUAAUCUUGUUUAACUUUAAACGUAGAUUUCUCGAGUACCUUGAUAAUGAUAGAUUACACGUGGAGACCGUUCUCGUGGAAUUAGGCGACAAAAGUAGGUCACAAAGGCGCUCUUGAAAACAAAAAAAAAAUGAUUCGAUCGUCCUCGAGAUUUCGGUCCGCGUAUCGAGCUGAUAUUGGAUUUUUACUUCGCAAACGUCCGAUAUCACCGAUUUAGGUGAUUAUCCGAAUUUGGAAAGGCCGACAGUCCGCUUCCGUAAAUGAAUCUUCCCAGCCCAAUAAAAACGUCACAUUCAGCCGCAAAACUAUGUCAACAAAAUAUUCUAGCCGAAAACUCCGGCCAAAAUCCAUAAAACAACUCUAUUACUUUAGCAUCGGCCAGUUUUUCUUGUGUCGCGCUGUUAUUUUCUCUUCACGUGACUAACUCUCGGCUUUCGUGAAAACCGCGUCUUUUCCUCGCCGUCAAUUGCCCGCGCGCGCGGAAGAAAACAAUGGGUACUUCCCCUCCUCCCUAAAUAGGCUGUACGUUGCACUUCCGAGGCCUUGGGCCCUUGCACCUGCACAGUUUGUUCUUCUCCUCCCGGACAGCGCCAAGACUUUCCCUUUUAUGUAUAGUCACGAAAAUUAAAACUCCCGCCGGUCUGACGUGCAGGUAUAGAGGAUUUAAAAUAUUUUGCAUUUUCUAUGCACCUCAGCGGCGCGCGCGCUAAGAACCUGUUGGUUUCUUUCUCUCUCUGACAGUCCCUUGGUCGUCUUUGUUUCUCUCUCUCUCUCUCUUUCGCCAUCGCGCCUGACCAUCUACAUAAUCCCGGCCCUCUCCCUCCGCGCGCGGAGGUGAGGUUGUGCCGAUUCUCUGCCUCUCGACUCGGCGAAAAAAAUAAAUCACGAGCCAAACAGACGGAGCAUAGGUAUAUACCCAAGAGCGCGAAAGAGUCUCUAGAAGAAAAAAGAAGCCACGAGAGAGAGAGAUAGAGAGAUGAACAAGGCUCUAUAUAUACACGCGCUUGCUUCUAUAUAACGAUAAUACACAGACACACGCACACAGAGGAAGAAGCAGGCAGGGCCGUACGUUACGAGAAACAGCUCCCGGCGACGAGGUUGUCGAAUCUCCUCAGCUGCUGGGCCGCUGAUGCAUAAUCUCGCGUCAUCGAGGCCGCGGUUCUGCGGCCGCCCGAGCAACCACCAUAUACAGCCAGCUCCUCACGGGACACUUUACUUCGCUUGUUAUUAAUAUUCUCGGAGCUUUCUCUCUUCCGGAGCAGCACCGCACUGAACACCAAGGGACGUAUGCUUUUUCUCCCUCGUAACGGAUUUUUCACACAUAUAUAGGUACACACGCGACGCGCGUUCACUGCUGCUUCUUUCCGACGAUAUUUACACUGGCAUGGCGCUCUCUCUUUCUCUCUGACUCUCUCUCUCUCUCGCCACCUUCACGCCGUUCCGUCGACGACGGUUAUUAGCGAGAGCGCAACGUUUUUCUAUCUGUCUCCCUCGCACUCGUUAUUUAUGGCGUUCUUCGUCACGCCUCCGCUCGGGGAGGUUAGCUAGACAGACUGAAGGUCUGCGAAAGAGGCACUAUAGCUGUAUCUCCCUCUGACGGAGACUUGCGUUAUGGAAAGAACUGAAAAGCGCCACUCGGCCGUACUCGCACUGUUGCUUUGCGGAGUCUGCGCGUUGAGUGCCGACUGCCGAGGCCAUCUUUAGAGGACUCACCAGUCACCAUAGUACACUGCCCCGUGUAUUUGCAAGCGCUCGUCAUCGUCGCAGCAACGGUUCGCACAUUAUCGGAGUGGGGGGUGUUAUUGCCCACCUACUCUUCCCCUACUCUCACUGCGCCGGGCUUUUCAAACCUUUAAUAACGGCGGGCAGACGAUGUUUACGUUACGGCCGAUGACUGUACAGCGUGCAACUUACUUCUUGCUGCUGUGUUAUGAUGUAGGCGGAUGUAUACGGAUACACCCUCGGAUGAGGCACUGUCCAGAAAAAAUAAGCGCAAGCUUUUAUGCUUCUAUAUGAUUGAGUGUGUAUAGGUAUCAGCAGUUCUCGAAUACGUGCUGAUCUCUCCUCUCUGUUUACGCGUGUUUUUAUUUGCUCGGUAGGACAGUGAUUCAUCUUGUUGAUGCAAAGCUGUUUUUGCCUUUUUUUCUAAUGCAUGUGCAAGUACUUUCACUUUCUCUUAAAAGCAAAUAAACUUUGAUCGAUGUAGUAAAACAAAGCUUUAGUUUGAAUGAUCGUGUGAAUAAAUCGGAUCACGUGAACGAUCCCACCUGAAACGCUUGCGACCAAUAGAAAAGGUGAUUCAAGAUUUGAAAAGUGAUUCAACUGUGCUCUGAGAAAACGUGAAAAGGUUUGGCAAUAACUUAUAUUUAUUCGAUGUAAAAAUAUAUGUGAAUUAUACUUAAAAAUAACAUAUAAUAAAUGUAAUGUAUGAUAGCAA
rnacentral:lncRNA from 1 species